rnacentral:rRNA from 1 species
UACGAAGGGGGCUAGCGUUGUUCGGAAUUACUGGGCGUAAAGCGCACGUAGGCGGGUCGUUAAGUCAGGGGUGAAAUCCCAGAGCUCAACUCUGGAACUGCCUUUGAUACUGGCGACCUAGAGUUCGGAAGAGGUUAGUGGAAUUCCCAGUGUAGAGGUGAAAUUCGUAGAUAUUGGGAAGAACACCAGUGGCGAAGGCGGCUAACUGGUCCGAUACUGACGCUGAGGUGCGAAAAGCGUGGGGAGCAAACAGGG